CUCUGUACAGUAGCUCAGUUGGUUAGAGCGCUACACUGGAAUUGCAGGGCUGCAGGUUCAAUUCCUGCUGGAGG